GACGAACGCUGGCGGCGUGCUUAACACAUGCAAGUCGAACGGAAAGGCCCUGCUUUUGUGGGGUGCUCGAGUGGCGAACGGGUGAGUAACACGUGAGUAACCUGCCCUUGACUUUGGGAUAACUUCAGGAAACUGGGGCUAAUACCGGAUAGGAGCUCCUGCUGCAUGGUGGGGGUUGGAAAGUUUCGGCGGUUGGGGAUGGACUCGCGGCUUAUCAGCUUGUUGGUGGGGUAGUGGCUUACCAAGGCUUUGACGGGUAGCCGGCCUGAGAGGGUGACCGGCCACAUUGGGACUGAGAUACGGCCCAGACUCCUACGGGGGGCAGCUGUGGGGAAUAUUGCACAAUGGGCGGAAGCCUGAUGCAGCAACGCCGCGUGCGGGAUGACGGCCUUCGGGUUGUAAACCGCUUUCGCCUGUGACGAAGCGUGAGUGACGGUAAUGGGUAAAGAAGCACCGGCUAACUACGUG
rnacentral:rRNA from 1 species